UAGGGAAUCUUCCACAAUGGACGCAAGUCUGAUGGAGCAACGCCGCGUGAGUGAAGAAGGUCUUCGGAUCGUAAAGCUCUGUUGUUGGUGAAGAAGGAUAGAGGCAGUAACUGGUCUUUAUUUGACGGUAAUCAACCAGAAAGUCACGGCUAACUACGUGCCAGCAGCCGCGGUAAUACGUAGGUGGCAAGCGUUGUCCGGAUUUAUUGGGCGUAAAGCGAGCGCAGGCGGAAUGAUAGGUCUGAUGUGAAAGCCCACGGCUCAACCGUGGAACUGCAUCGGAAACUGUCAUUCUUGAGUGCAGAAGAGGAGAGUGGAACUCCAUGUGUAGCGGUGGAAUGCGUAGAUAUAUGGAAGAACACCAGUGGCGAAGGCGGCUCUCUGGUCUGCAACUGACGCUGAGGCUCGAAAGCAUGGGUAGCGAACAGGAUUAGAUACCCUGGUAGUCCAUGCCGUAAACGAUGAGCGCUAGGUGUUGGGGACUUUCCGGUCCUCAGUGCCGCAGCAAACGCAUUAAGCGCUCCGCCUGGGGAGUACGACCGCAAGGUUGAAACG
rnacentral:rRNA from 1 species